rnacentral:rRNA from 1 species
GUGCCAGCCGCCGCGGUAAUACGGAGGGUGCUAGCGUUGUUCGGAAUUAUUGGGCGUAAAGGGCGCGUAGGCGGUUAUGUAAGUCAGAUGUGAAAUACUUCGGCUCAACCGAAGAACUGCAUUUGAUACUACAUAGCUAGAGUACAGAAGAGGGAAAUGGAAUUCCCGGUGUAGAGGUGAAAUUCGUAGAUAUCGGGAGGAACACCAGUGGCGAAGGCGAUUUCCUGGUCUGAUACUGACGCUGAGGCGCGAAAGCGUGGGGAGCAAACAGGAUUAGAAACCCCCGUAGUCC